rnacentral:lncRNA from 1 species
GUAUCUCUUCUGAUACUAAAAAAUAAAAACACUCACAUCACUUAAAGUCAAGGACUGGUACAAAACAUACCCAGAAUGAGGGUUGAAUUCUCAUUGCCAACUGCAAAUUAAAGACUUCUAAGAGCUAAAGGAUUUUUUGAAGACUACUACACUAUAAUUUCCAGGGUCAGGAGAAGUCAGCUGUGGUCUGCACAGACCAAGGCCUGGAGGCAAUCUACACUAUCUGAACACUUACACCAAAACCUUAACCCAAGAAUAUUCAGGGGAAUAAUAUGCCACUUCUGGAGAAAGCUGCUGCAAUUGCAACACUGAAUAAGGAGCAGAUAUAUCAUUUUUAGCCAGCAUAUCGUAACAUUCCAAGCUGCCUCCUUUCUACCAAGACCUGAACACUAAAUUUCUUUCUGAAUGAGAGAAUGAAUGAACCAGUUGGGGGAUGAUGACAGCACUGUGUCACUGCUGACUUCUAGUUUGGGUGGCUGUCCCAUGGUUCUAUGAGAGAGUGCAUUGUUUUUGAAAAAGUGAAUGCUAGUGUGUUUAGCAUUAAUGGGCACUAUGACCACAUUGUGCUCAAAAGCUCAACAACCCCCCAUAUAGCAAAGAGAAAGAGAAAAUGAUAAACCAAAUGCUGUAUAAUGAGAGC